UACGUAGGGUGCAAGCGUUAAUCGGAAUUACUGGGCGUAAAGCGUGCGCAGGCGGUUCUGUAAGAUAGAUGUGAAAUCCCCGGGCUCAACCUGGGAAUUGCAUAUAUGACUGCAGGACUUGAGUUUGUCAGAGGAGGGUGGAAUUCCACGUGUAGCAGUGAAAUGCGUAGAUAUGUGGAAGAACUCCGAUGGCGAAGGCAGCCCUCUGGGACAUGACUGACGCUCAUGCACGAAAGCGUGGGGAGCAAACAGG
rnacentral:rRNA from 1 species